rnacentral:piRNA from 1 species
UCCAUUAGAUAGAUGGGAAAAGCUGCGGC